GACGAACGCUGGCGGCGUGCCUAAUACAUGCAAGUCGAACGCAUUUUCUUUCACCGUAGCUUGCUACACCGAGGGAAAAUGAGUGGCGAACGGGUGAGUAACACGUGUGUAACCUGCCCAUCAUCGAGGGAUCACACGUGGAAACAGGUGCUAAUACCGCAUAAUUCCAUUUACCGCAUGGAAUUUAGAUGAAAGGCGCUUUUGCGUCACUGUUGGAUGGACCCGCGGUGCAUUAGCUAGUCGGUGGGGUAACGGCCUACCAAGGCUGGGAUGCAUAGCCGAACGGAGAGGGUGAGCGGCCACACUGAGACGGAGACCCGGCCCAUAGGCCUUCGGGAAGGAGCAGUAGGGCAUCGUCGGCAAGGGACGGAAGACUGACCGAGCAAGGCCGAGGGAGGGAAGAACGUUGUCGGGUCGGAAAACACGGUUGUUGGGGAAGAACAAGGAUGAGCGUGGAAAGUUCAUCCCUUGACGGUAUCUAAUCAGAAAGCCACGGCUAACUACGUG
rnacentral:rRNA from 1 species